UUUCCGUAGGUGAUCCUGCGGAAGGAUCAUUAAUGAGUUGUCAUGGGGUUCGAUGCUGGCAGCCAAUUUUUGGAUGCAUGUGCUUGCCCUAACAAUCAUCUUCCAAACACCUGUGCACAUUUUUGAGGGAGUCUUGAGUUGGUUGCCGCUCUUGGGUGAUUUUCUCACAUUCCCUUAAAUCAUUAUACGCUAUUAACAAUGUUGAACGUGCUCUGUGCCGCAAGGCUAUUAAUAUAAUACAACUUUUAACAACGGAUCUCUUGGCUCUC
rnacentral:misc_RNA from 1 species